GACGAACGCUGGCGGCGUGCCUAACACAUGCAAGUCGAGCGGAGAAAUUAAAGCUUGCUUUAAUUUCUUAGCGGCGGACGGGUGAGUAACACGUGGGCAACCUGCCCUUGAGAGGGGGAUAACACAGAGAAAUUUGUGCUAAUACCGCAUAACAUUUAGACUUCGCCUGGAGUUUAAAUCAAAGGAGUAAUCCGCUCAAGGAUGGGCCCGCGGCGCAUUAGCUAGUUGGUGAGGUAAUGGCUCACCAAGGCGACGAUGCGUAGCCGACCUGGGAGGGUGAUCGGCCACGUGGGAACUGAGACACGGUCCAGACUCCUACGGGGGGCAGCAGUGGGGAAUAUUGCGCAAUGGGGGAAACCCUGACGCAGCAGCGCCGCGUGAGCGAUGAAGGCCUUCGGGUUGUAAAGCUCUGUCUUUGGGGACGAUAAUGACGGUACCCAAGGAGGAAGCCACGGCUAACUACGUGCCAGCCGCCGCUGUAAUAC
rnacentral:rRNA from 1 species